rnacentral:rRNA from 1 species
AGUCGAGCGGAAGAAGGGAGCUUGCUCCCGGAUGUUAGCGGCGGACGGGUGAGUAACACGUGGGUAACCUGCCUGUAAGACUGGGAUAACUCCNNGGAAACCGGAGCUAAUACCGGAUAGUUCCUUGAACCGCAUGGUUCAAGGAUGAAAGACGGUUUCGGCUGUCACUUACAGAUGGACCCGCGGCGCAUUAGCUAGUUGGUGGGGUAAUGGCUCACCAAGGCGACGAUGCGUAGCCGACCUGAGAGGGUGAUCGGCCACACUGGGACUGAGACACGGCCCAGACUCCUACGGGAGGCAGCAGUAGGGAAUCUUCCGCAAUGGACGAAAGUCUGACGGAGCAACGCCGCGUGAGUGAUGAAGGUUUUCGGAUCGUAAAGCUCUGUUGUUAGGGAAGAACAAGUGCGAGAGUAACUGCUCGCACCUUGACGGUACCUAACCAGAAAGCCACGGCUAACUACGUGCCAGCAGCCGCGGUAAUACGUAGGUGGCAAGCGUUGUCCGGAAUUAUUGGGCGUAAAGGGCUCGCAGGCGGUUUCUUAAGUCUGAUGUGAAAGCCCCCGGCUCAACCGGGGAGGGUCAUUGGAAACUGGGAAACUUGAGUGCAGAAGAGGAGAGUGGAAUUCCACGUGUAGCGGUGAAAUGCGUAGAGAUGUGGAGGAACACCAGUGGCGAAGGCGACUCUCUGGUCUGUAACUGACGCUGAGGAGCGAAAGCGUGGGGAGCGAACAGGAUUAAAUACCCUGGUAGUCCACGCCGUAAACGAUGAGUGCUA